GACGAACGCUGGCGGCGUGCCUAAUACAUGCAAGUUGAGCGAUGAAGAUUGGUGCUUGCACCAAUUUGAAGAGCAGCGAACGGGUGAGUAACGCGUGGGGAAUCUGCCUUUGAGCGGGGGACAACAUUUGGAAACGAAUGCUAAUACCGCAUAACAACUUUAAACAUAAGUUUUAAGUUUGAAAGAUGCAAUUGCAUCACUCAAAGAUGAUCCCGCGUUGUAUUAGCUAGUUGGUGAGGUAAAGGCUCACCAAGGCGAUGAUACAUAGCCGACCUGAGAGGGGGAUCGGCCACAUUGGGACGGGGAAACGGCCCAAACUGCUACAGGAGGGAGCAAUAGGGAAUCUUCGGCAAUGGACGAAAGUCUGACCGAACAACGCCGCGGGAGUGAAGAAGGGUGUCGGAUCGUAAAACUCUGUUGGUAGGGAAGAACGUUGGUGAGAGUGGAAAGCUCAUCAAGUGACGGUAACUACACAGAAAGGGACGGCUAACUACGUG
rnacentral:rRNA from 1 species